ACCGGCAGCUCAAGUGGUGGCCAUUUUUAUUGGGCCUAAAGCGUUCGUAGCCGGUUUGAUAAGUCUCUGUUGAAAUCUCACGGCUUAACCGUGAGAAUUGCUGGAGAUACUAUUAGGCUUGAGGCCGGGAGAGGCUGGAGGUACUCCCAGGGUAGGGGUGAAAUCCUAUAAUCCUGGGAGGACCACCUGUGGUGAAGGCGUCCAGCUGGAACGGACCUGACGGUGAGUAACGAAAGCCAGGGGCGCGAACCG
rnacentral:rRNA from 1 species